rnacentral:rRNA from 1 species
GGCGAACGCUGGCGGCGUGCCUAAUACAUGCAAGUCGAACGCUUCUUUCCUCCCGAUUGCUUGCACUCAAGUGGAAAGAGGAGUGGCGGACGGGUGAGUAACACGUGGGUAACCUACGCAUCAGAGGGGGAUGACACGUGGAAACAGGUUCUAAUACCGCAUAACAGUUUAUGCCGCAUGGCAUAAGAGUGAAAGGCGCUGUCGGGUGUCGCUGAUGGCUUGAUCCGCGGUGCAUUAGCUAGUUGGUGAGGUAACGGCUCACCAAGGCCACGAUGCAUAGGCGACGUGAGAGGGUGAUAGGCGACACUGGGACUGGGACAGGGACAAGGCUCCUGCGGGAGGCACCAGUAGGGAAUCGUCGGCAGUGGACGAAAGUCUGACAGAGCAAGGCGGCGUGAGUGAAGAAGGUUCUCGGAUCGUAAAACUGUGUUGUUAGAGAAGAACAAGGUCGUCAGUAACUGAACGUCGACUGACGGUAUCUAAUCAGAAAGCAACGGCUAACUACGUG